UUGUGCGUGCGGUACCGGUGUGCUACUAAAGAAGAAAAUAAGGUAGCGUUCUGUCUGUCAAUAAUAGGUAGUAGUUUUACCUGAGCCCAAGCAAAUGGUUGAAGUGUAUCCAACUCCAACCAAAUUAUCCUGUUAUUCGAUUUUAAUUCUUUCCAUGUUUACGACCUGUUAAACUUCAACCUGAUCUGUCACCUGUUCUUACUUGAUUCAAAAUUUCAAAAUUAAAAUUUUCAGACUUUUUCAAUUGCAAAGUUUUGGAGAAUUGUCAGCUGAUCAGCAGCUGAAAGUAGGAAACAAAAGAGUAAGAGUGUCAUCAUGGCGGUGAUGAAAGAAAGGCGCGAGAUGGUGUGUCAGGUGUAAUUAAUUUGUUUGAUUAUAAAAUAGCUGUAACUAGUUCAGUGUAAUGUUAGAGCGUUAUAGCUAUUUCCAAGCUUUUUAAGUGAGUAUGAAAACGGCAAAAAUGUUUAAAGAGUAGGGCCUCCUAUUGAAUCGAGAGCAGCAUGGUGAAAGAGUAGAGAUUAAAGCCAGAUUGCAUAAGAUAUCGGCGAAGGAUUUAAUUUUAAAUACUGUGAAUAGUGUAGAUGUAUGAAAAUAUUUUCUGAAAUUAAAAUGUGCCCAUGUUAUCUCAAGUGAGAUAUAAUUGGGCUGGGAGUGCUGCCUCAAUGUUCAUUGGAAGAUCGGAAAUUGUGUUGGUCUUACCAAAUGUCUGCAUUAAAAACGCUUGCUUUGAAAAGCUUCCUGAUAUAGCAUGGAUAGAAGUGCAGUCGUAUGAACUACACAAAUGAACUACACAUGGGAAAAUGUAUUAAGGUAUGCAAUUUUACAAUUGUCUAUAAGACCUAACUUCGUGCAAGUAUUACCAA